GCACUGUGGCUUACUACUCUCAUCCUUCUUACGGCGACGAAAUUUCCUUGUCAAAUAUUUGCUGAAAGGUCUUUCGGGGACUGGAAUGAGUUUUCCAACAGCAGCGAGAGGCCAACUGGGCAACAGAAAAUGAACCUGACUACACCAAUAGCAAUGGAAACAAGCCACAACUGCCAACUAAGUCGAACGGUUGAAAAGAACUUGCCGAGGAAGAAGAUAAUGAUAACCUAGCACAAGAGAGUAUGAAGGAUGAUUAAGGAGGUCUACGCAUGAGGUGAUCUGUAGGGCGUUCUGUGGCCAGUGCAAGAGCUCCUAGUGUGUCCAUAAUAAGAUUCACCCAAAGAAGCUGGAGAGAAGGCAUUAUAGAAUCUGAGAAACUAAA